GAUAGGCUGAAACUGGGGCAGGCUUGUUUGUCAAGUGACCAGCGCAGAGGACAUUAGGUUCAUGCAGCCCUGAGGGAGAUUGUUUUUGAUGACGGAUGUUGAGGUUGGAAUCAGUAAGUUUGCCCUACCUGCCCAACACACACCCAUUUACCUGCCUCGAUGAGAGAUUGGAGUUGACGAAAGCAAAAGUGCUUCCGUAGAGCAGCCAGAGUGAGAGAAGAAGGUGCAGGGGGAAAUGUGCUGAACACGCUAGAACAGGCAAGCUUCCACCAAAGACACCAGAGUUUGCCGGGGUGAGGAUGCUGAAGCUCGGCUGGAAAUGCCGACUCCUGAAGUCGCAGAUGUUCAUGGCCUCCAGCGUCAGA